rnacentral:misc_RNA from 2 species
UACCGAGUGCGGGCCCUCUGGGUCCAACCUCCCAUCCGUGUCUAUCUGUACCCUGUUGCUUCGGCGUGGCUACGGCCCGCCGAAGACUAACAUUUGAACACUGUCUGAAGUUUGCAGUCUGAGUUUUUAGUUAAACAAUAAUUAAAACUUUCAACAACGGAUCUCUUGGUUCCGGCAUCGAUGAAGAACGCAGCGAAAUGCGAUAAUUAAUGUGAAUUGCAGAAUUCAGUGAAUCAUCGAGUCUUUGAACGCACAUUGCGCCCCCUGGUAUUCCGGGGGGCAUGCCUGUCCGAGCGUCAUUGCUGCCCUCAAGCACGGCUUGUGUGUUGGGCUUCCGUCCCUGGUAACGGGGACGGGCCCAAAAGGCAGUGGCGGCACCAUGUCUGGUCCUCGAGCGUAUGGGGCUUUGUCACCCGCUCCCGUAGGUCCAGCUGGCAGCUAGCCUCGCAACCAAUCUUU